UCCUGUCCUGCGGGUGGGUCACCUGUGUCUGUUCCCUCAUCAGUGGGUGCACCUUUCAGUUUUUUUCUGCCUUUUUUGUCGUUGUGAAUAAUGCUACUGUGAGCUCUGAGCUACAUUUCUAUAGAAUCACUAGGUAGAAUCCAAGGGACACCUCAAUAAUCCAGAUGAGAGGUGAAGGUUCUUGGACCAGGUGCAGUGGAGGGGAUGAGAGGUCAGCGUCUUUCUUUUGAUCUGGGGUGCAUGUAAACGAGGAGCAUUGAGGAUGCUCGUCAGGUCUGAAGGGUGGAAUGUCUAUUAGCUCACCUGGGGAAGGUGUGGGUGGGUUUGAGGCAGGAGAUAGACGGGUCCCAGUUUAGACAUUUACCUCUAGCCUCCUGUUUACAUUUGAAAAACAGACGUAAUAACAGGAACAGGAUGAGCAGCCGGGCUUUGUCUCCUGUGGACACUUUAAGAUGAUGGGAAUGGCAGGAACAGCAAGGGGCUGAGCCCUGCGUAGGGAAGAGAUGAAGAGACCACAUACUUCUCAUUCUUGGGGUCAAGGAGACCCUCCAGACUAUACACGCACAGAAAGGGCCCUCAAGGGAGGGGAUGCUAGGCCAUAAUAUGUUCUAUCAAAUCCCCAGAGACUCUUGCGCUGGAAUCCACCUUGGCUAAAAGAUGGGCAUGCACACAGGGGAGGACCCUGCAUCAGACAAGGUAGGACUCAGGGCCAGACAAGCAAGAUGAUCGGCCAGAGGAGCCCAGAAGAACUUCCCCCAUGAUGCGGUCACCAGCGGAGGGAGAGCUGAAAGAAGAGCAAGGUCCGAGGCCCCGGCGGUCUGAUCAGCCUCCACGUGUUGCAGUCCAGGCGACAGUCCAUAGAGUCGCAAACAGUCGGACAUGACUGAGCC